rnacentral:rRNA from 1 species
AUUGCAGGCUGCAACUCGCCUGCAUGAAGUUGGAAUUGCUAGUAAUCGCGAAUCAGCAUGUCGCGGUGAAUACGUUCCCGGGUCUUGUACACACCGCCCGUCACACCAUGGGAGUCGGAAAUGCCCGAAGCCAGUGACCCAACCUUUAAGGAGGGAGCUGUCGAAGGCAGGUCUGGUAACUGGGGUGAAGUCGUAACAAGGUAAC